rnacentral:rRNA from 1 species
GACGAACGCUGGCGGCGUGCUUAACACAUGCAAGUCGAGCGGUAAGGCUCCUUCGGGAGUACACGAGCGGCGAACGGGUGAGUAACACGUGAGCAAUCUGCCCUUCACUUUGGGAUAACUUCCGGAAACGGGAGCUAAUACCGAAUACGACCACUUCCGGCAUCGGAUGGUGGUGGAAAGUUCCGGCGGUGAAGGAUGAGCUCGCGGCCUAUCAGCUUGUUGGUGAGGUAACGGCUCACCAAGGCUUCGACGGGUAGCCGGCCUGAGAGGGUGACCGGCCACACUGGGACUGAGACACGGCCCAGACUCCUACGGGAGGCAGCAGUGGGGAAUAUUGGACAAUGGGCGAAAGCCUGAUCCAGCAACGCCGCGUGAGGGAUGACUGCCUUCGGGUUGUAAACCUCUUUCAGCGGGGACGAAGCGAAAGUGACGGUACCCGCAGAAGAAGCACCGGCCAACUACGUGCCAGCAGCCGCCGUAAUAC